rnacentral:rRNA from 1 species
GUGUCAGCAGCCGCGGUAAUACGGAGGAUGCAAGCGUUAUCCGGAAUUAUUGGGCGUAAAGCGUCCGCAGGUGGUUUUGCAAGUCUGCUGUCAAAGCGUGGAGCUUAACUCCAUAUAGGCAGUGGAAACUGUGAGACUAGAGUGUGGUAGGGGCAGAGGGAAUUCCCAGUGUAGCGGUGAAAUGCGUAGAUAUUGGGAAGAACACCAGUGGCGAAGGCGCUCUGCUGGGCCAUAACUGACACUGAGGGACGAAAGCUAGGGGAGCGAAAGGGAUUAGAAACCCCCGUAGUCC